rnacentral:tRNA from 1 species
AACAAAUUUUAGGCAGGUCUUCUAAACUUGUUUUGGAUUUUUAUCCGUUUGUUU